UACGAGGGGGGCAAGCGUUGUUCGGAUUCACUGGGCGUAAAGGGUGCGUAGGUGGUUAGGUAAGUCCGAUGUGAAAUCUCCAGGCUCAACCUGGAAAUGGCAUUGGAUACUAUCUAGCUGAGGAGUGGAGGGGGGACUGGAAUUCUCGGUGUAGCAGUGAAAUGCGUAGAUAUCGAGAGGAACACCAGUGGCGAAGGCGAGUCCCUGGACACUUCCUGACACUGAGGCACGAAAGCUAGGGGAGCAAACAGG
rnacentral:rRNA from 1 species